GGAGGUGGCAAGCGUUGUUCGGAAUUACUGGGCGUAAAGGGCGCGUAGGCGGCAAGACAAGUCAGAUGUGAAAGCCCCGGGCUUAACCUGGGAACUGCAUCUGAAACUGUAAUGCUUGAGUUCUGGAGGGGGUAGUGGAAUUCCCAGUGUAGCGGUGAAAUGCGUAGAUAUUGGGAGGAACACCUGCGGCGAAGGCGGCUACCUGGACAGUGACUGACGCUGAGGCGCGAAAGCUAGGGGAGCGAACGGGAUUAGAUACCCCGGUAGUCCUAGCUGUAAACGAUGGGCACUUGGUGUUGGGGGUAUUGAGUCCCUCGGUGCCGGAGCUAACGCGAUAAGUGCCCCGCCUGGGGAGUACGGUCGCAAGACUG
rnacentral:rRNA from 1 species